rnacentral:rRNA from 1 species
GACGAACGCUGGCGGCGUGCUUAACACAUGCAAGUCGUACGGAAAGGCCCUGCUUGCAGGGUCCUCGAGUGGCGAACGGGUGAGUAACACGUGGGUGCUCUGCCCUGCACUUCGGGAUAAGCCUGGGAAACUGGGUCUAAUACCGGAUAGGAGCCAUUUUUUGUGUGAUGGUUGGAAAGUUUUUUCGGUGUAGGAUGAGCUCGCGGCCUAUCAGCUUGUUGGUGGGGUAAUGGCCUACCAAGGCGGCGACGGGUAGCCGGCCUGAGAGGGUGGACGGCCACAUUGGGACUGAGAGACGGCCCAGACGCCUACGGGAGGCAUAAGUGGGGAAUAUUGCACAAUGGGCGCAAGCCUGAUGCAGCGACGCCGCGUGGGGGAUGACGGCCUUCGGGUUGUAAACUCCUUUCGCUAGGGACGAAGCUUUUUGUGACGGUACCUAGAGAAGAAGCACCGGCUAACUACGUG